rnacentral:rRNA from 1 species
UGGGGAAUCUUAGACAAUGGGGGCAACCCUGAUCUAGCCAUGCCGCGUGAGUGAUGAAGGCCUUAGGGUUGUAAAGCUCUUUCAGCUGGGAAGAUAAUGACGGUACCAGCAGAAGAAGUCCCGGCUAACUCCGUGCCAGCAGCCGCGGUAAUACGGAGGGGACUAGCGUUGUUCGGAAUUACUGGGCGUAAAGCGCACGUAGGCGGACCAGAAAGUUGGGGGUGAAAUCCCGGGGCUCAACCUCGGAACUGCCUUCAAAACUAUUGGUCUGGAGUUCGAGAGAGGUGAGUGGAAUUCCGAGUGUAGAGGUGAAAUUCGUAGAUAUUCGGAGGAACACCAGUGGCGAAGGCGGCUCACUGGCUCGAUACUGACGCUGAGGUGCGAAAGCGUGGGGAGCAAACAGG